UACCUUCUCUAAAUCAAAUCGAACCUUUUUCGAUUGCGCCGCUUUCGGCGGUGGAAGACCGUUUUCGUCAAAAU
ensembl:ncRNA F54F12.4 ncRNA